UUCCUGUCAAUAUACAUAGUAUGUCCUUAUUAUCUACAAAAUUUCAUGAAAUUCUGUUGUGUGUUUUCAGAGGAGUUGAGAUGACAAACUGUUGCAGAAGUACAUUGAGGCAAAUAAGUUCAAAGGGGCGUAACUCCUAGAAAAAAAAUUGAACCGUAAUUUCCUGUUGAUAUGCACAUCUACAUAGUAUGUCCUUAUUAUCUACAAAGUUUCAUGAAAUUCUGUUGUGUGGUUUGAGAGGAGUUGCGAUGACAAACUGUUGCAGUAGUACAUUAAAGGAAAUAAGUUCAAAGGGGCGUAACUCCUAGAAAAAAAAUUGAAUCGCAAUUUCCCGUCGAUAUGCACAACUACAUAGUAUGUCCUUAUUAUCUGAAAAGGUUUUGUGAAAUUCUGUUGUGUGGUUUGAGAGGAGUUGCGAUGACAAACUGUUGCAGUAGUACAUUAAAGUAAAUAAGUUCAAAGGGGCGUAACUCCUAGAAAAAAAAAUUGAAUCGCAAUUUCCCGUCGAUAUGCACAACUACAUAAUAUGUCCUUAUUAUCUGAAAAGGUUUUGUGAAAUUCUGUUUGUGUGGUUUGAGAGGAGUUGCGAUGGACAAACUGUUGCAGUAGUACAUUAAAGUAAAUAAGUUCAAAGGGGCGUAACUCCUAGAAAAAAAAAUUGAAUCGCAAUUUCCCGUCGAUAUGCACAACUACAUAAUAUGUCCUUAUUAUCUGAAAAGGUUUUGUGAAAUUCUGUUGUGUGGUUUGAGAGGAGUUGCGAUGACAAACUGUUGCAGUAGUACAUUAAAGUAAAUAAGUUCAAAGG
rnacentral:lncRNA from 1 species